rnacentral:rRNA from 1 species
AGCGAACGCUGGCGGCAGGCUUAACACAUGCAAGUCGAGCGGGCAUCUUCGGGUGUCAGCGGCGGACGGGUGAGUAACGCGUGGGAACGUGCCUUCUGGUUCGGAAUAACUCAGGGAAACUUGAGCUAAUACCGGAUACGCCCUUUUGGGGAAAGGUUUACUGCCGGAAGACCGGCCCGCGUCUGAUUAGCAAGUUGGUGGGGUAACGGCCUACCAAGGCGACGAUCGGUAGCUGGUCUGAGAGGAUGACCAGCCAAACUGGCACUGAGACACGACCCAGGGUACCACAGGAGGCAUAACGGACGAAUAUUGGAAGACGGCGCGAAGCGAGAUCCAGCCGUGCCGUGUGAAUGAUGAAGGCCUUUGGGUUGUGAAGCUCAUUUGACCGCGACGAUAGUGACGGUAACGGAGGAAGAGGCCCCGGCUAGCUUAGUGCCAGCCGCCGCGGUAA